rnacentral:rRNA from 1 species
AUUAGUAAUAAUAUUUCAGUUUACUAAUAUCUUUUUGACAAUAUUGGUGCCAGCAGUCGCGGUCAAACCAGUAAAAAAUAUAAAUCUAUUAGAUAAUUUUUAAAAAAAAUCAUAAUUAAUAAGUAAAAUACUAAUUAUGUAAAACCAAAAAAAAAGAAAUUAAAAUUCAUUUAAAAAACCAGGAUUAGAUACCCUGCUAUUUAGAAUAAAUAAAAAAAAUCUAAGCACUAAAAUUUUAAAAAUUAAAACUUAAAAAUUAUGGCGGUAAGCAAAAUUUUCAGGGGAACUUACCAGGUAAUUGAUAACCCACAAGUUACUCAACUUAAAUUAAUAGUUUAUGUAUUGCCGUGUAAGUUUUUUUUUAGAAAAAACUGAUUUUUUAAAAUCACAGGUCAUAAUAUAGCAUAUAUUUAAGUCUUAAGGUGAGUUACAAUAAAAUAUUUCAGUAAAAAUAAUAAAAUAUUAUUUUUUAAGAUGGACUUGAAAGUAAAAUGUAAAAAUAACUAUUGAAUUUUUUUUUGCUUGUGCACAAAUCGCCCGUCAUUCUUUUUUUUAUAAAAAAAAGACAAGUCGUAACAUAGUAAGGGUAGUGGAAACUGUCCUU